rnacentral:lncRNA from 1 species
CCCUGUCUCAAAAAGGGAUGAGGAUGGGCCAGGGAUUUAGCUCAGUGGUUCCGGUGCCUGCCUCAAGAGCAAGGUCCAGAGUUCAAUCGCCAGUACCAAAAAAAAAAAAAAAAAAAAAGGAAUGAGGAUAUAGCUCAGUAGUAGAGCCCUUGCCUAGCAUGCAAUGGAUUGAAUGCACAGUAAAAAAUAACAUUUAAAGGAAAUAUUUUGAGGGUUAUUGGUGAAAUCCUUAAAAAGCUCAGAUGAAAAGCCCUUAUAUAACUUCACCCUGGAUAAGAUUUAACGUAGAACUGACAUGGAAGCCCAUGCCUAUAAUCAGCUUCUUAGGAGGCUGAGGAAGAGGAUUGUAAGUUCAAGUGCAACCUGGGCAACUUAGCAAUACCCUGUCUCCAAAAGAGGUAAGAACGGAGCCCAGUUAUUUUUAUAGCAUGAAAAGAUUGGAGUUUGUUGGAGAGAGUGUAAUGGUUUGUGUUUAAAUGUCCUCCUAAACGCUCCUGUAGAUGAGGUGGGACUUUCUUUUUCAGAGGUAGUUGAAUCUCGAAUGUGUUAUGCUGGGGUUAAGGGCGCGUGAUUACUAAACCACUACAUGUGAGUGAUUAGUUUGGCACCGCCCUAAUCCCCGGUAGUCUGAAUAAGAUAAAAAGAUGCUGUUAAACUUCCCUUGUUCCUUUUGCUACCUUGUACGCGCCAUGUUGUUUCUGCUCUGCGAGGCCUGUUUGUCAUCCCUGUCGUGGAGCCAGCCAACUGUGGACUGAAACCUCUACAAACUGUCUCAUCUCAGCCUGUUUUGCCCUCCUUACUU